GGGCCGGUAGUCUAGCGGUUAUGACAUCACCUUUACACGGUGGGGGUCGGAGGUUCAAAUCCUCCCCGGCCCA
rnacentral:tRNA from 1 species